rnacentral:rRNA from 1 species
GACGAAGGAUGCAAGCGUUAUCCGGAUUCAUUGGGUUUAAAGGGUGCGUAGGCGGAUUGGUAAGUCAGUGGUGAAAUCUCGCAGCUUAACUGCGAAACUGCCAUUGAUACUGCUAAUCUAGAGUACAGUUGCCGUUGGCGGAAUAUGAUAUGUAGUGGUGAAAUACAUAGAUAUGUCAUAGAACACCGAUUGCGAAGGCAGCUAACGAAGCUGUAACUGACGCUGAGGCACGAAAGUGCGGGGAUCAAACAGG